rnacentral:rRNA from 1 species
GAUGAACGCUAGCGGCAGGCCUAAUACAUGCAAGUCGAGGGGUAGAGAAGGCUUGCUUGCCUGAGACCGGCCCACGGGUUCGUAACGAGUAUGCAACCUACCCUUUUCUGGGGGAUAGCCCGAAGCAAUUCCGAUUACUACCCAUUAACAUCAGGAUCCGCAUUGACCUUGGUUCAAAAAUACGGUCGUGUAGGAUGGGCAUGCGGUCGAUUGGCUUUUUGGUGAGGUAACGGGUCACCAAGGCGACGAUCGAUAGGGGGCCUGAGAGGGUGAUCCCCCACGCUGGUACUGAGACACGGACCAGACUCCUACGGGAGGCAGCAGUAAGGAGUAUUGGUCAAUGGGCGGAAGCCUGAACCAGCCACGCCGCGUGAAGGAAGACGGCCCUAUGGGUUGUAAACUUCUUGUCUACGGGAAUAAACCUCAGGACGUGUCCUGAGCUGAAGGUAUCGUAGGAAUAAGGAUCGGCUAACUCCGUGCCAGCCGCCGCAGUAAGAC